UCCCCUCUGUCCUGCGCCCAGAGUGAGGACAAGGUGAAGCCGGUGGUCGUGGUUCCCGGUCACCUCCACACUUUAGAGCACGUGGUUCGGCAGGACUACUUCCCCAAGGAGAACGUGGCAGUGCUGGAGGCCUUCUUGUCCCGGUAAGGGCGUGACAGAAUGAGCCAAUCAGCAGGCAGCUCCCAGAAACAACAAUGUUCUGGAGUCAUGCGGAAACGCCAGAGACGACCUCCAGUCAACACUGCAGAGAGUCAGUUCUGAGGGCUGAGGACACACACACAUGAUCACACACACAGACUGAACUUUGACUGAUCACUGUUGGACCUUUGGAAACCAGCACACACAUAGGCGCUCAAAUUUGAAGCAGAGCCGACUCCACGCAGACACUUCGCUGCGUCAGAAACAAAGCUCUCUCUGGACUGGACUUGAAUGUGUUUUGAAGAAAACUGAUGCUCUUACGGUGUGAAGUAACUUAAGUGCUUUGUGUACAAUCAUAAAACCACAGGACGGCACUGACAACUUGGUCACCAUGCUCCUGUUGUGUUAGUGAAUAAGAAAAAGCCUUUCACCAUACUCUAGAUCUGUGCGCGCAGAUUACACGUCUGCUGAAAACUAGAAAACCAUGUGAACAUUUUCUAUUUCCCAUAUACCUUUUAUUACUCUGUCGUUUUAUAUAAAAUAUUGAAUGUUUACUGAAUUCGAGAAAUAUGGUCAAACAAUGGCGUUAUUAAAAUAUGUAUCGACUGAUGAAUAU